AAGACUAUUCUUUCAGAGAUCAUUAUGAAAGAAGUUUCUCUGAAUGCCUAAAAACUGGAAAACCAUGAGGAGGCACAACAGUGUUCUCUCCUGAGCAUGAAGCUGGCUCUUGGCAUUGCUUUGCUGCAACUGCCAUUUGCCAUUGCUGAUAAUUUUUCUCUUCCUUUGGGAGAGUUAAGAGGAAGAGAAUGCAAUCUGA
rnacentral:snoRNA from 1 species